GGUGAGAUGGCCGAGUGGUCUAAGGCGCCAGAUUCAGGACCAGGACAUUCAGAUGUCCACUACUUUCUGGUCUUUCGGGGCGUGGGUUCGAAUCCCACUCUCAUCA